rnacentral:rRNA from 1 species
GUCUAUGGCCAUGCCACCCUGAACAAGCCCGAUGUCUGAUCUUGGAAGCUAAGCAGGGUGGGGCCUGGUUAGUACUUGGAUGGGAGACCAUGUAGGAAGACCAGGUGCUAUAGGCA